rnacentral:rRNA from 1 species
GACGAACGCUGGCGGCGUGCUUAACACAUGCAAGUCGAACGAAGAGCGAUGGAAGCUUGCUUCUAUCAAUCUUAGUGGCGAACGGGUGAGUAACGCGUAAUCAACCUGCCCUUCAGAGGGGGACAACAGUUGGAAACGACUGCUAAUACCGCAUACGAUCUAAUCUCGGCAUCGAGGAUAGAUGAAGGGUGGCCUCUACAUGUAAGCUAUCACUGAAGGAGGGGAUUGCGUCUGAUUAGCUAGUUGGAGGGGUAACGGCCCACCAAGGCGAUGAUCAGUAGCCGGUCUGAGAGGAUGAACGGCCACAUUGGGACUGAGACACGGCCCAGACUCCUACGGGAGGCAGCAGUGGGGAAUCUUCCGCAAUGGACGAAAGUCUGACGGAGCAACGCCGCGUGAGUGAUGACGGCCUUCGUGUUGUAAAGCUCUGUUAAUCGGGACGAAAGGCCUUCUUGCGAACAGUUAGAAGGAUUGACGGUACCGGAAUAGAAAGCCACGGCUAACUACGUG